AGGAAUGGGGGGGAAGAGGCGGAGUUAAGCCCAGGAGGGAGGUGCAGGCAGAGGGUAAAAUCCGGCCCAGGCAGGGGCAGAGGGGGCAGCAGUUACCCCAAUGGCACUGGGACAUCGGAAUGUGCUGCCGGUAGCACAUUCCUACGAGGAGCACUAACCUUCACUGCAGCGCCUCUCCCCCGGGCUUAACCUCGGCUCCUACCCCCACCCCCGAUUUUCCCCUCCAGUCCCUCUUCUGCCGCUGCCUACAGCCGCUUGAGCCCCGGGCCAGGGAGUUUCUGCCCCCUGCUCAGCCCCCGCAGGAGCAGAGUGGGGGCAGCGGCCACGCCAGAUGUUCCGGCGCAUGCUCAGUGAACGCUCAGAGGACAUUCGGAGAGGGGGGCUUUGUCUGCCUUGCCCCUGCCCCGGCGCGGCCCCGCUCGGGGGGAAGGCUGCAGAAUAACGACUCCAGAUCGUCCCAUCUUCCUAGGGGCUGUGGCAGGGAAAUGGCUGUGGUGGAUCCAACUCAGAUGCCGGUGACCUUCGAGGAGGUGGCCGUGUAUUUCACCGCGGAGCAGGGGGCUCUGCUGGACUCCGAUCAGAG